AGGAAUUUGUUCGUAUUGAAUUGAUUCCCAACCUGAUGCUUCUUCCUGAUGGAUUGUUGCAAAACCAUACGCUCCUUGAGCACUUAGAAAUUAAAAAUCUUAGAGACCUUCAGUCCUUGUCAAAUCAAAUAUUAGAUAACCUUUCUGCUCUAAAAUCCUUAAGAAUUCAGCAUUGUAGUGAACUUAAAAGCUUGCCUGAAGAGGUCUCCGGAACCUGUCAAAUCAAAUACGGUACUGUUUUCCCAGAACAUAUGAAGAUGGUGUGCCAAGCAGUUCUUCUCAGCUGUGGUGGCCACUUGAAACACUUCCGAGAUUAUGAGUGAAUUAUGGUUGUAUAAAUCCUCAACGUUUCCAAAACUUGUAGGCACCUCAGCAUAGGACGAUGGAUGAUUAUAGAACAGCUGGAUAUGAUCCCCAGUCAAGCAGUUUGGAGACCAGAUUGAUCCAAAGCCAGCAUGACAUUCGCCACCCACUAGUUGAAUAAAAAGCUGAAAAACACCCCUAAAAUGGUUUUGUUUUCCAUGAUUUUGUUCAUGGUUUUGGUCAAUUUAAAUUAUGUGAUUUAUGUACUGGAAAUGUGAAGAUUG